CAGCAGCCGCGGUAAUACAGAGGGUGCAAGCGUUAAUCGGAAUUACUGGGCGUAAAGCGCGCGUAGGUGGUUUGUUAAGUUGGAUGUGAAAGCCCCGGGCUCAACCUGGGAACUGCAUCCAAAACUGGCAAGCUAGAGUACGGUAGAGGGUGGUGGAAUUUCCUGUGUAGCGGUGAAAUGCGUAGAUAUAGGAAGGAACACCAGUGGCGAAGGCGACCACCUGGACUGAUACUGACACUGAGGUGCGAAAGCGUGGGGAGCAAACAGGAUUAGAUACCCCCGUAGUCCCUGUCUCUUAUAC
rnacentral:rRNA from 1 species